CCCACGCAGUCGUCCGUCUUCCGCCGCCGUCUCCAAGAACACAAAGCAAUUCGCCGCCGCCGCCGCCGCCGCCCCCUCAACCCCAUCCUCUCCCGAUCUUUUCCCUCUCUCACACCCCGUCGCUCCCGCCGUCGGUCGAUUGAGUGUUUCCAGAAUUCUUCGUCCGCCGUCCCUCCCCGCACUCACGCACGCGCACGCCUGGUUCGUGUACGGCUCAGAGCGGAGCAGGGGAUCGAUUGAUGCGAGGUUCGGCUUCCAAUCCAUCCAGGACGCCGGUCACCGAGGGGAGAGUCCAGAUUGUCCACGCGAAACCCUAGAUGCGGCGCGCGUACCAUCUCCGCGGCCUCGCCCAGUUCUUGCUCGCCUUAGCUCGCGGAGAUGGAGCAUGACGCGCCGCCCGUCCCCUCGCACCAGGCCCAGGACGACGGCACGGAGCCCCUUCCCCCUACGGCGCCGCCUCGGUGCAGCUGCUCGUGCGCGACCCUCAACUACGACGCGGUUGGAGGUGCCCGGCGACGACCUUGGCACCUGCUCCCGCGACCACAGUCACUGCGUCCACAAGAAAGCCGCAUGGAUUGGGGAUAUGUACGUCGGUUUGGGUCUAGAGGGGCAAUCUUUGAGCAUUUGUUUCAACUAUCGGGGAUCUCAAGUUCACAUGGAUCGCCCUAUGAUCAAGUUUCAUUCUGGUGCUAUGAUGAUUGUGACAGAAGAUGUUUGCUGCAGAAGCAAUCGCUAUGUUUCAACUCCAAUAUUAAAAAUCAAUGCACCUGAAUUACUACACAAUUUUUCUCAUCUGGAACUGCGCUUAUAAGGUGUUUGGUCUGAAAGCUAUGCUCCUCAAUACAAUGUGAUAAAAGGUUCAUGAAAUCAUCAGGUAUGGAAAUGCUUGACCGUUUUUGUAAAUUACUUAGUACAAUAUUAUCAGUUUGUUUUUUGCAUUAUUUUCCCAGUUCUCUUGCAGUACUAUUCAACAACCUAUCUUCCUGCCUAUACUAGAUAAAAGAGGGUUUCUGUUAGUUAUUUUUUCCACUACCGAAGCAACAACUUAUCUUCCUACCUACCAGAUAUACUACUCCUUGAUUGCUUAGCUCCUGGCUUAAGAAGCUCCACCAUUAUUUUAUAUGAUAUUAAAAAAAUGAUUUCUAACUUCGUUGAAAGACACGCACAGUUCUGAUUUUCUGGGGUCAAUGUUCAUUUCUAGAGGCAAAUACUCUCAGAUUUCUUAGUGAACUAUAAUCCCAUCUACAUAAUCCCCCUUGAUAUAGUUCCCUUUAUUUGCACGACACAAUCUAGCAUAUGACAGUUCUGAUUUGGAUUGUGCGUGUUUCUCCAAAAACUAGGAUUAUAUGCCUGAGAACAAACAAAUAACGUUAUAAACUUACCUCAAAGCCUGUGGGUUGACUGAAGCUUGAUAAAUAGUUUCAGAUGCACUAUGGUCUCGUAACAAUAGAAAUAAGCUUCGAGGGAAAGAGAACCAUAAGUAUAGGUGACUGCAUACUAGAAGAUAUGUAAUCGUGUUGCACUAUAGUGUCUUUAUAGAAGGCGACAAAAUCAGAGAGAUCCUAAAUUUGGUUUUCUGUUCUUCUCAGUUAAGAAAAGAAACAUUAACUCUUUAUCAGUAAGGGAAUAUGCCUUAUUAGCAUUCUCUUAUGGUGGUUAUUAUUGCUCAACGUUGUGAGGAAAAAGAAGAGUAUUCAGAUUUUUCUAUUUAUGGUUAUAUCUUUUGGAUAAACUAUAGAAGGGUAAACUGCGAAGAAGAAACAUAACGACCACCAGUAGUUAUAUCUUUAUUUUGAAUUAAACUAAAGUUGCCAUGAUAGCAAUAUUUUAGAAUAUUCAGAUUUUUCAAUAUUAUGGUGAUUAUAUCUUUUGCACAUUAACUCUGAAACUGAACUAUUUAUGUGGGGCUAGAGAAGCGUAAUUUCAAUACAAACUGCAAUUGCUUGGGUAAGAGAAAUCAACUCAAUACUGGAAUUUUCCAUAUGAUGUAGUAAGCGGGGGCGUACCAUUGUAAAUCGAUGUACGGUGAAGGCUAGCCGCAUCUUUGGCAUGUGGUCAAACCCGACAAGCUGCAACUAUGUGGAGCAUCCACAUUACUGCCACCACAUGCUUGCUAAAAUAGUUAAUCCGUUCGUCCCUGUACAUCGGCCACAUCUUCGACGAGCAUGCCUGAUGGCAAAAUCGGGCAACUAUUAUCGUAUUGAGUAUCCAGAGAGGAUAACCGUCAUGAAAAUCACUUCAUGGAUCGAUGUGCCCAUCAUCAUGGCUGGUAGCAGAUGAUGCAUUAUUGGAGCUUUAUACUGUAUGACUAUUCCACGCGGUCUUGUUUGCAUCAAAAGCGUGGCCCACUUUGGAUAAGAAUACACCAACCAUUUUGGUAAUGGGCAUCUCAACAGUUCUGUUUGGGCCUCAUUCCCCUAAUACGCUAGUAAUUGUCUCCUUUUGUCUCAAUCCCAAACACUCCAUGAUCUAAGAGAGGGAGUGCUAGCAGCCAUGGCGGCAGUGUCCCCUCCGGCCGUUCAUGCAACUUGAGAGGCUCUAGCGAUGAUGCGUAAGAGGCAUCAGCAUCACUAAGUUUGCCACCAUCUAGCCACAACGAUAAUGCGACAGAGCAUAUAGUGGAGGGCAGAGCAAGACAGUCGAGGGAGAUGGCUCAUCAAAAGAAUCCACAACACGUGGAUGACAAGUGUAGUAGAGAAGAGGAUGAGGGGGAAUCACUAGGGAAGCCAAAGGAAGCAUAUAGUGGAGGGCAGAGCAAGACAGUCGAGGGAGAUGGCUCAUCAAAAGAAUCCACAACACGCGGAUGACAAGUGUAGUAGAGAAGAGGAUGAGGGGGAAUCACUAGGGAAGCCUAAGGGGACAAGCCAAGUGAGGUAGCCUCAUGUAAUGAACAAGGCGGGGAAGCCGCAGGUGAUGACGAGCUUGAUAAAGAAGCCAUUAGAGGUAGAAGAAACUUCAAUCCCUAGGAAGUAGCGAAGAGGACCAAGAUUAGACAUAAGAAACCAACUAUGACGAGCCUUCACAAAGGCAAAUGUACUUAGAGCCAUUGCCAGUGUUGUCGACAUAUAGAAGAAGAGUUCGACCACGAGUUGAAAGGUGGCAAGAAGUGUAGGAUCAUGAGCACUAGCCAAAAACUAGCCGUAGUCACCAUCGAGACGAACCGUUCAAACCAGGUAUGAGAGCUUUGCUUAAGGCCAUAAAAAACUGAUGAAGACGACAAACCAUGCCGUCAGGAAGAGAAUACCCAGGUGGUGGCUACAUGUGGACCUCAUGCAACUCAACAUUUAAGGAAGGCAUUUUUGACAUCAAGCUGAGAGACAGACCAGUGGCGAACAUAAGCCACAAUGAGAAGUGUGCGAAGGCCACGAGAGCAAAUCUUUGUAGUCUUGGCCAUAUUCCCGAGGAAAGCCUUACGCCACUAGGUGAGCUUUGUAACACUCAAGAGAACCAUUAGUUUAUUAACAUUAUAGAUGCACUUACAAGCGAUGGGACGAGAGGAAGAGAAAUGACAUCCCACGUGCCGAUGCGCAUAAGAGAAACAAUCUCCUCUACAAUCGCAUGCAGCCAUUCGAGAUGAACAAAUGCGUCAUGAUAAGAAGUCGUCUCAAGAAAAGCGACGCCAGAAUAACCAUAGUAGUCAAUAGGCGGAAGCGAGAGCUCGGAAGCCAUAAGUAGGCCGAGUUGGAGGCGGUGCAUUGCCAACAGGAGAGGACAUUGUAGUCGAGGGAGAUGGCUCGUCAGAAGGAUCCAUAACACGCGGACAAGUGUAGUGAAGAAGAUAAUGAAGGCGAAUCAUCGGGGAAGCCUCAUGGACGAGCCAGGUGAGGUAGCCUAAGUAAUGAACGAGGUGGGAAAGCCGCAUGUGACAAUGUGUGGGGUCUAUAACAGUAUUACGGGAGGACACGCUGGGAUAGGUGGGUGAGGGCAAUAAAUGAGUGAUAAGUGUAUCGGGAAAAUUGAGGGAAGAAGUAUCCUCAAUUGGGUGGUGGGGGGCGAAGCAGAGGAUGGAUGUGCAUAAGAAGGAUGAGACUCAAUGAGAAGUCACAUCUUGAGAAAUGCGCAUCCGAUGACUGACAAGAUCCCAACACCGAUAGCCCUUGUGCUCAUCACUGUAACCUAAGAAGACAUUCAAUAGAUUGAUCAGAUAGUUUGGUGCGUGAAGAACGUAGCGAAGACAACCAAACAAAGUGUUUAGUACUCCAUCCGUCCGAAAAUACUUGUCAGAGAAAUGGAUGGAUCUAGAAAUAGCAUAGUUCUAGAUACAUCCAUUUUUAUCCAUUGGGGUGGGGGGGGGGGAGGCGAAGCAGAGGAUGGACAUGCAUAAAAGGACGAGAUUCAAUGAGAAGUCACAUCUCGAGAACUACGCAUCCGACGACUGACAAGACCCCAACACCGAUGGCCCUUGCUCAUCACUAUAACCUAAGAAGACAUUCAACAUGUUGAUCGGACAGUUUGGUGCUUGAAGAAUGUAGCCAACACAACCAAACAAAGUGUUUAGUAAUCCAUCCGUCUGAAAAUACUUGUCGGAGAAAUGAAUGUAUCUAACAUAUUUCAGUUCUAUACAUCCAUUUUUAUCCAUUUGUGUGACAAGCAAUUCUGGACGGAUGGAGUUGUUAGGGGAAUGCCCACAAAGACGCUCGAGAGGAAUGUCACCAUGUAGAGCAGAGGAGGGAUGAUUGUUGAUGAGAUAGGUGGCUACGAUCAUCAAUGCCGCCUCAUGAAGGUGGCGAUGCUUGCGCUUACCAACACUAUUCUGACCACGAGCACAAGACAAGAGAAUUGAGCAAGUAUGCUUUUCUCAGUAAGGAAUUCAUGCAACAAAUGAGGGAUAUACACACAAGCAGAAUCUACAAGAAAGACAUGGAUAUGAGUGGAAAACUGAGUAUGAAUCAAGGCGGCAAACUUCUUACAAAUAGACCUCACUACAAGAAGGCAUAAAAUAUAUCGACUUGUGUCGAGAGAAAUCAUUAUAAAGAUAAUAUAGUGGCGAUGGCCUCCUUUCGAGGCAAAGGUGGCUGGAUCCCAAACAUUAGAGUGAAAAGAUAAAAAAGAUGCCGAGACAGAGUCUCGCUCUAAGGAUAAGGUAAUUGAACAUGUUUACCCAACCAACAAUCUUGGUUGUCUAAAGACACAUUACCAGUGACAAAUCCAAGGAGACCACGUCGAACUAAGGAUGAGAGUCAAGAACCACACAUGCGAUUGUGACUGCGACGAUCAUGCCAGAACGAGUGGGUACACGAGGUAAGUGAGUCGAACAGGCUGGCAGUGGUGGUAGCGGAGGAAGGCGAAGCCACACUCUAGAGGGCGCGUGAGCCAUAGCGUCGAAAUGAGUUGUCUGUUAAGUAUCAUUAGCAGUAAGAAUAUGAACAGGAGAAUUUAGAGGUCCAAUGGAGGACAACCUGGAAGAAUCGUAAGUCAUAUGAAAAGAUGCUUCAGUACCAAGGAUCCAUGGUGGUGUGCCUGAUUGUGUAAAAAGUAGUCUAUCGAUACCAAAAGCAUCAGUAGCAAAACCUGCAAAACUUGUGGAUGAAGAGCCAAAAGAAGCAUCUAGCAGGCACUGAAGCAACUAUUUGAUUUGAAUCGUCUUGCAUGACAAGGGGAGGCUAAGGUAGGUGCACAGGAUCGAUCGAACACAUGAGAAGCUUUGCUCGAUCACUGGAAGAUCAACAUUGCCCCAAUGGCUUGGCGCAAAGGAGCACUUGUCGGAAGUUGGUGCAUAAGCCUGAUGCGCCUGAUAGUGUUUUCACCCCUUCCCACACCUCCCGCGCAUUGUUCGUUUCCCGCCAAUUCGGCUUGGCAUCCUUCCCCUGUUUGCGAGUUCCGUGCCACUGACUUGAUCCGACAUCCCAUGUUCUCCCACCGUGCAUCCCGCGCCUUGGCGGUAGGUAGCGUUGUGCUCUCGGUCGUGUCUAAUGGGUUAGUCAUUGCGGUGUCGACUGCCUGUGCGGCUAUGGCGGCGCGCAACAGGUAACAUGAGAUGUGGGACUGAGGCAUCACACAUAGCAACCCAAAUUCAGGUGAAGGAUGCCCAGCCGGACUGGUAGGGAGCGGAGAGCACACAUGAGGUGUGGUGGAAGGUAUGAAAACAUUGUUGGGAGCGGACUGUCGUUGCCGUCGUUUGUUGUACUUGGAGACAAGCGUCGUGGGGAUGGCGAUUGGGGAAGGCGAGAAGAUGGCACUAGGAGGAGAAAGGCAUCAUUUGCCACCGUACACAGUAUGUGCGUCAGUCAUGAUGGUGGACGGUUGUGGGCAGAUAUUGUAUCUGCAUGUGGAUUUGUUACUAGGGUUUGUUGGAUCAUAGUUAUGAUUUGUGCUAGAUAACUUCCUUUAAAGAUUGAAGCUGGAGAACUUUAGGGUGUAGUAUGAUCAACCUGAGAUAUAUUGAAUUUAUAUAGGUAUAAUAUGAUUGGCAUGAGUGUGGUAUUGGUGGACUAUUGGAUCAUCUUGGAUUUUACUACUUGGAUUCUAGGUUGGAGGUAACUUGGCACUUGGAUUUGUGAUAUUUUGUAGCUUGUAUGUGCACCAUAUGGAUAUGGGCAUGUAGAUGAUAAAUGGAUCGGAGUUGGUAGACUUUGAUGGUUUUGCUAGCCCUCAUAUGUAUUGGACUUAGAUAACUAUGAUACUAGGCUUGGUUGGAUCAUAGUUAUGAUUUGUGCUGGAUUCCUUAGUUUGAAGAUUGAAGUUGGAGAACUUUAGGGUGUAGAGUUAUCAAUGUGAGAUAUAUCAGAUUUGUUUAGGUACAGUAUGAUUGGAAUGAGUGCAAUAUUGGUGGACUAUUUGGAUCAUCUUGGAUAUUGCUACUUGGAUUCUAGGUUUAAGAUAACUUGGGCACUUGGAUUUGUGAUAUUUUGACCUAAGCUUAGUAGCUUGUAUGUGCCCCAUAUGAAUAUGAGCCAUGGAGAGGAUACAAAUGGAUCGGAGUUGGUAGAUUUUGAUGAUUUUGCUAACCCUCCCCAAGAAUAUUAUGAGUACAACAUCAUCAUGGGAGGAGGAUUUGAAUUAAUUAGAAUAGAUGACAAUUUUAAUGUUAUGUGCCUUUUUGGAGCAGUGGAUCUCGCUUUUAUUAUGUGUUUGUGCCACUUCAGAUGCAAUAGUAGUAGGAGAGUAGUACAUAUGAACCUUGGAACUAUUUGGAUUUAUUUAGGUGAUUGUGAUCUUGAAAAAAAUCUCAUGGAUAAAUAACUUCUAAUUUUUGUAUCUAUAGUCACCUAGUGGAAGUUUGCUUUAUAAAUUUGGACUUGGGUAACCAUGAUACUGGGCUUGGUUGGAUCAUGGUUAUGAUUUGUGCUAGAUUCCCUCCCACCUUUGAAGAUUAAAGUUGGAGAACUUUUUGGGUCUAGUAUGAUCAACCUGAGAUAUAUUGAAUUUAUAUAGUUGUAGUAUACAAUGUUUGUCCUCCUGUCACCAACCCGGGAUACAUUGUGGGGAUGGGGUUCAUGAUCCAAAGGAGUUUCAGUUCGAUGAUUUUAUGAUGGUUCCAACUUAGAUGUGUUUCCAGCCUAGAAAUGAGUUCUUUGCUCAGCCUCGUGGUAUUUCCUCCUGUGGAAGAGGUGGCUGGGUUAGUAGAAGUCAAGGUGGUCGUGGAGGGUUGUGGAGGGAAAACCACGCAUGACUCAACCCAAUGUAUAAGAAGAAAUAUGAUUUUGACCAUGCGAAUGGAAAUACAUGUACUUGCAGUGCCAAAGGAAACAAAUGUUAAUUUAGGGGAUUCUGGUACGAAGCCACCUUGCAAGAGGUUAUUGAGUGCAGGCAACCCUGUGUUGUUGAAGGACCCUUCCUUGGCGUCGGGGGAAAUGAAGUGACACGGGUCUUAAGACUGUGAGGGCAAAAUUGGGACGAGUGACUCAGCUCAGGGUUCCUCUAUGCAAGUUCAAGUGAAAAGGCAGAGGAUGGCAGGGCAUGCCGCUCUUGAUAGCGUUUACAUCGCUUCCUCAUACAUCUCGUGCAAUUUUUGUUUCCUGCUGUUUCAACUUGGCGUCCUUACCUUGUUUGCGGGUUAUGUGUCACGGACUUCGUUCCGCAUCCCGCGUUCCCUUGCUGGGCGUCCCUAGCCUUGGUGACAGGUAGCGACGUGCACUUGGGCGCUUGGCGUCCUUGGGUAAGUUCGGGGGCGGUGCCCAAGCUUGCAGCUAUGGUGACAACUUGCAUGGGAGCAUAUGAUGUAGGAAUAAGGCAGCACAUGAGUAACUCGCAUCCAAGGAAAUGAUACCUAGUCGGACAUGCAGGCAAUGGAGAGUACGCGGGAGGUGUGGGUAGGGGUGAAAACGUUGCCGGAAGCGUACUGCAACUGCCGUUAAUUAGCCUUUAGAUCCAGAGUCGAGUGGCGAGGGUAUGGCGAUAGAGGAAGCGGGGAAGAUUCUUUCCUUUGAAGAUUGAAGUUGGAGAACUUUCGGGUGUAGUAUGGUCAACCUAAGAUAUAUCGGAUUUAUAUAGGUAUAGUAUGAUUGGCAUGAGUGCGGUUUUGGUGGACUAUUGGAUCAUCUUGGAUAUUACUACUUGGAUUCUAGGUUGAAGUUAACUUGGGCACUUGGAUUUGUGAUAUUUUGACCUAAGCUUAGUAGCUUGUCUGUGCCCCAUUGGAUCAUUUUGGAUAUUACUACUUGGAUUCUAGGUUGGAGGUAACUUGGGCACUUGGAUUUGUGAUAUUUUAACCUAAGCUCUGUAGCUUGUAUGUGUCCCAUAUGGAUAUGAGCAUGAGAUUAUACAAAUGGGUCGAAGUUGGUGGACUUAGAAAACUAUGAUACUAGGCUUGGUUGGAUCAUAGUUAUGAUUUUUGUUAGAUUCCUUUGAAGAUUGAAGCUGGAGAACUUUAGCGUGUAGUAUGAUCAACUUGAGAUAUAUCGGAUUUAUAUAGGUAUAAUAUAUUAUUGGCAUGAGCGUGGUAUUGGUGGACUAUUGGAUCAUCUUGGAUAUCACUACUUGGAUUCUAGGUUGGAGGUAGCUUGGACACUUGGAUUUGUGAUAUUUUUACCUAGUAGCUUGUAUGUGCCCCACAUUGAGAUGAGCAUGGAGAUGAUACAAAUGGAUCGGAGUUACUAGACUUUGAUGAGUUUGCUAGCCCUCCUCAUGUGUAUUGGACUUAGAUAACUAUGAUACCAGGCUUGGUUGGAACAUUGUUAUAGUUUUGUGCUAGAUUCCUUUGAAGAUUGAAGCAGGAGAACUUUAGGGUGUAGUAUGAUCAACCUGAGAUAUAUCUGAAUUAUAUAUGUAUAGUAUGAUUAGUAUGCGUGCGGUAUUGGUGGACUAUCGGAUCAUCUUGGAUAUUACUGCUUGAAUUCUAGGUUGGAGAUAACUUGGGCAUUUGGAUUUGUGAUAUUUUGACCUAAGCUUAGUAGCUUGUAUAUGCUCCAGAUGGAUAUGAGCAUGGAGAUGAUACAAAUGGAUCGGAGUUGGUAGACUUCUAUGAUUUUGCUAACUCUCCCCAAAAAUGUUAUGAGUACACAUCAUGGGAGGAUGAUUUGGAUUAAUUAGAAUAGAUGGCAAUUUCAAUGGUAUGUGCCUUUUUGGAGCAGUUGAUCUCGCUUUUAUUAUGUGGUUGUGCUACUUCAGAUGCAAUAGUAGUAGGAGAGUAGUACUUAUGAACCUUGGAACAAUUUGGAUUUAUUUAGGUGAUUGUGAUCUUGAAAAAAUCUCGUGGAUACAUAACUUCUAAUUUUUGUAUCUGUAGUCAUCAAGUGGAAGUUUUCUUUAUAAAAUUGGACUUGGGUAACCAUGAUACUGAGCUUGGUUGGAUCAUGGUUAUGAUUUGUGCUAGAUUCGCACCUUUGAAGAUUAAGGCUGGAGAAGUUUUGGGUCUAGUAUGAUCAACCUGAGAUAUAUUGAAUUUAUAUAGUUGUAGUAUACAAUGUUUGUUCUCCUAUCUCCAACCCGAGAUACAUUGUGGGGAUGGGGUUCAUGAUCCAAAGGAGUUUUAGUUCGAUGAUUUUAUGAUGGUUCCAACUUAGAUGUGUUUCCAGCCUAGAAAUGAGUUCAUUGCUCAACCUCAUGGUAUUUCCUCCUCUGGAAGAGGUGGCUGGGUUAGUAGAAGUCAAAGUGGCCGUGGAGGGAAAACUAGGCAUGACUCAACCCAAUGUAUAAGAAGAAAUAUUAUUUUGACCAUGCGAAUGGAAAUACAUGUACUUGCAAUGCCAACGGAAACAAAUGUUAAUUUAGGGGAUUCUGGUACGAAGCCACCUUGCAAGAGGUUAUUCAGUGCAAGCAACCCUGCGUUGGUGAAGGACCCUUGGCGCCGGGGGAAAUGAAGUGACAGGGGUCUUAAGACUGUGAGGGCAAAAUUGGGACGAGUGACUCAGCUCAGGGUUCUUCUAUGCAAGUUCAAGUGAAAAGGCAGAGGAUGGCAGGGCAUGCCGCUCUUGAUAGCAUUUGCAUCACUUCCUCAUACCUCUCGUGCACUUUCCGUUUCCUGCUGAUUCGACUUGGCGUCCUUACCUUGUUUGCGGGUUAUGUGUCAUGGACUUGGUUCCGCAUCCCACGUUCCCUUGCUGGGCGUCCCUAGCCUUGGCGACAGGUAGCGACGUGCACUUGGGCUCUUGGUGUCCUUGGGUAAGUUCGGGGGCGGUGCCCAAGCUUGCAGCUAUGGUGACAACUUGCAUGGGAGCAUAUGAUGUAGGAACAAGGCAGCACACGAGUAACUCGCAGCCAGGGAAAUGAUACCCAGCCGGACAUGUAGGCAAUGGAGAGUACGCGGGAGGUGUGGGUAGGGGUGAAAACGCUGUCGGGAGCGUACUGCCGAUGCCGUUAGUUAGCAUUUAGAUCCAGAGCCGAGUGGUGAGGGUAUGACGAUAGGGGAAGCAAGGAAGAUUCCUUCCUUUAAAGAUUGAAGCUGGAGAACUUUCGGGUGUAGUAUGAUCAACCUAAGAUAUAUUGGAUUUAUAUAGGUAUAGUAUGAUUGGCAUGAGUGUGGUAUUGGUUGACUAUUGGAUCAUCUUGGACAUUACUACUUGGAUCCUAGGUUGGAGGUAACUUGGGCACUUGGAUUUGUGAUAUUUUGACCUAAGCUUAGUAGCUUGUGUGUGCCCCAUAGGAUCAUCUUGGAUAUUACUACUUGGAUUCUAGGUUGGAGGUAACUUGGGCACUUGGAUUUGUGAUAUUUUGACCUAAGCUUGGUAGCUUGUAUGUGCCCCAUUUGGAUAUGAGCAUGGGGAUGAUACAAAUGGAUCGGAGUUGGUAGACUUUUAUGAUUUUGCUAGCCCUCCCCAUAUGUAUUGGACUUGGAUAACUAUGAUACUAGGCUUGGUUGGAUCAUAGUUAUGAUAUUUGCUAGAUUCCUUUGAAGAUUGAAGCUGGAGAACUAUAGGGUGUAGUAUGAUCAACUUGAGAUAUAUCGGAUUUAUAUAGGUAUAAUAUAUGAUUGGCAUGGGUGUGGUAUUGGUGGACUUUUGGAUCAUCUUGGAUAUCACUAUUUGGAUUCUAGGUUGGAGGUAGCUUAGGCACUUGGAUUUGUGAUAUUUUUACCUAAGCUUAGUAGCUUGUAUGCGCCCCAUAUGGAUAUGAGCAUGGAGAUGAUACAAAUGGAUCGGAGUAGACUUUGAUGAUUUUACUAGCCCUCCUCAUGUGUAUUGGACUUACAUCCAGUAACAAGAACCUAGGGGAGACGGGAGGAGUGUCGGCGGGAGGAGUGUCGGCCGCCGAGACGGCUGUCCACAUCGAUGUUGCCGUCGCCUUCCAGGAGCUUCCACCUACCCGCCAUGACGGCCGAUGCGGACUCCUCCUUGGGUGAGUGCUUCCCCCUACAGCAUCUUUCCGGUGGUGACACCCUCAUCCACCACCACGGGGCGACAAGAGCUCAGCCCCUUCCUGAGGGUCCCGUCCUCAACAUGCUCCAAAGCUCCAUGGGUACUGGUAAGCGCCCAAAUUCCUGAUACAAGCUGCUACACAACUGUUCUAUGUUUUUCAUGGAUCCGAACAAAAAUACUAAGCAAAUUGCCGCCGAGAUGCUGGUUAAGGUGAUUCCCACCAUCACUUGUGCGUUCUCCCUGUUGGAUUGGUCAUUUAUGAUUGAUUUCGGGUCUCUUUUGCCUGCAGAUCCGUAGUUCUUCCUGUCACUGGUCUGUAUCUGUUACCGCACUCAUCGAUCUGUGGGUGCUCCUUAUUUUGGUUGAUCCCCUCGUCGGUUGGUCGUUGGAUCCGUGGCGGCCUUCAAGUCUUCAUCCACGUCCAAGGACCUGCAGGUUAUGGUUCCCACUAUCAAACAUUGUAGUCUGAAAACAUACGUUGUACUUUAUUCGCUCAUACUCUGUCCCCAGAAGCUUUUAUGCAUUUGGUAGGACCUAAACUCUAUUUGCAUUCAGAAAUAUUUCUGCUAAAUACUUGAUUUAUGUACGUUUCAUAAAAUGUAUGAAAAAUGUGGUUGGUUUUCCCUUGUCCCUGAAAUUUAAAGCUUUGUUGAAUUACUGUACAGUGAUCAGAUCAAUUCGAUCAUGCAUUGCCUGUGUGUUAUUAUUCUUCGUCAGUUUUGUUCUGAAACGGAUGGGGACAAAAGCACACUAUCACAUACCCUUCAUGUUUUUUAGGUGAAAAACGUCAGGGAAAGAAUUUGUUGUGGUUAAUUUUUCCAAGUUAAAUGACGCCGUAUGUAUGUGUACAUACUUGUGUUGGACUGUUAUGAAGCAUAUAUUCAGUCACAGUUAGUAGACGGGAUCUGUGUGCAUUCACGAACCAGCUAAUUUGUACCCUGUUUGUUUUUCUUCACAUUCACUGAUAAGAUCCUACUAAAUGAGUGAGUGCAUAAAUCGAUUGGUCACUUGUGUAAGCUCUACUUGCAUUGGCGAUUAUUUCUGCUCAACUAAUACACUCGCUGGCUGGGAUUUGUAUUAGUAAAUAUGUCUGUCUCUGUGAUUCACAUACUUGUUUGUUACACCACUGAAGAACAAAACGGAAGUAAAUUAAAGCUGCAUGAAACAAAAAUGCAUUACUACUCUCCUGUGCUUUACUACUCUGUUUCCUCUGCUCUUGGUAACUUCAGUUCAGUUCAGCGGGUGUGAAACCAAAGAUGCAUUCACAUGUCUGUAACUUUGUAUCUUGGUUCUGUUUUUAUUGUUAGUUCCAAAGAUAUAGUCACUUCUUUCUGACUUCAAACUCUGUAACAUGUCUACUCUUCGUUUAGAUUUUUUUUAUUCCAGUAGUGUUGCUGUAAGUAAGCAGGUUUCUUAUGGGGAAUGGAGAUGAGUCUCGUGAAGACGGUGAGCGGAAAGGAGACAAGGAUGGCGACUUGAUGCUCCUUGGAGACGUCCUCUGGAGGUUUAUGACAAAGUGGAGAUGGAGGACUCCCGACGACAAAUGGAUGACACCGAGCUCUUGGUUCCAGCUCUUGGUUCAGAGUUGGACGAGUCCGCUUGCCGGAGCCCCGCCGCCUGCCCGUUUCGAGCCGCCCACCUCGCUCAGCAAUUGCGACCCGUCCUCCAUACACACCCUACCGCCUAGCUAGUGUCCGGGAGGCGGCGUGAGACGUGUUCGCUGCGGAACAGUGACCCCGGCCUGUUCGUGAGCUCGUGGGACUGCCUCACGCGGUCAGUCCACGGGGAUCGGGCGACGGCGUCUGGUUCUGAACGGCGAUGGAUGCCCGCGUGCCACUUGGAGAAGAGCACAAGAUGUUCAGGUAGGCUUAUCUCUCUGGGUGGACUGGUCUCCGCCGGCCGCAGGGCGCAGGCCAGGUGUUUGUGGAUAUGCCGCAGGAGGGGAACCAGUGCCAGGAUAAUAUCUACGUUUCUGUUGGAUAUUCUUAGGGUGUAGGAAGUGGUCUUGGACUCUUGGUGUUGGUGGUGUUGAAAUGCCAUGCCAAAUUGUUUUAGUUUCUGAGAAGCCAUUUUCUUCUGGUAUAGUACCUACUUUCAGAAAAAUCAGAGUCCACUCACCACGUCAACAAUUUGGAUGUGGCCAUCCUAUCAGGAGAGGUUCCUUGUACAACUUCUCAACUACAUAGUCAUUCAUGAAGUCUGAAUACUACGACUCGCUGCUCAGAAAAG